rnacentral:rRNA from 1 species
CGAACGGGUGAGUAAUGCGUGACCAACCUGCCCCAUGCUCCAGAAUAGCUCUUGGAAACGGGUGGUAAUGCUGGAUGCUCCAACUUGACGCAUGUCUUGUUGGGAAAGUGUUUAGUGGCAUGGGAUGGGGUCGCGUCCUAUCAGCUUGUAGGCGGGGUAAUGGCCCACCUAGGCUUCGACGGGUAGCCGGUCUGAGAGGGCGGACGGCCACAUUGGGACUGAGAUACGGCCCAGACUCCUACGGGAGGCAGCAGUA